GCAUAUCAAUAAGCGGAGGAAAAGAAACUAACAAGGAUUCCCUUAGUAACGGCGAGUGAAGAGGGAAGAGCUCAAAUUUUAAAUCUAUCAUGUUUGUACAUGAUCGAGUUGUAAUUUGAAGAAGCGUUUUCUCGUACUUUUAUGCAAUCAGUAUAAGUUCUCUUGGAACAGGACAUCAUAGAGGGUGAUAAUCCCGUCUGUUACUGGUUGUGAGGUUCGUUAUGAUACGCUUUCAAAGAGUCGAGUUGUUUGGGAUUGCAGCUCCAAAUGGGUGGUAAACAUCACCUAAGGCUAAAUAUUUGCGAGAGACCGAUAGCGAACAAGUACCGUGAGGGAAAGAUGAAAAGAACUUUGAAAAGAGAGUUAAAAAGUAUGUGAAAUUGUUGAAAGGGAAACGAUUGAAGUCAGUCGUGCAGUCAUCAAUUCAGCGGUUAAUAUUUUUAUGUUUCCGUGUAAUUUGGUGUCUGUUGGUUAGCAUCAAUUUUGAUUGUUAUAAAAAGGUUAAGGGGAUGUGGCUCCUUCGGGAGUGUUAUAACCCUUAGCGUAAUGUAACGAUUAGGAUUGAGGUUUGCAACGAAUACCUUUUAGGGCAGUUUCACCUGGCCUCUCGUGGAAUUAUAGAUAGUUAAGAGCAUGCUCUUACUGUCUAUGAUUCUACGAAAAGGUUGGAGUGUAAAACUAAUUCGUUAAGGAUGUUGACGUA
rnacentral:rRNA from 1 species